GCCUCGGUGGUGAAACUGGUAGACACACAGGACUUAAAAUCCUGCGGCUGUAAAGGCCGUGUCGGUUCGAUUCCGACCCGAGGCACCA
rnacentral:tRNA from 1 species